rnacentral:lncRNA from 1 species
CAGAUUCAGGAAGUUGCAGAAAUAGUUCAGAACGCCUCCCGCUCUCCACUCAGCCUCUCAUCUCCAACUAAAAUGAGACAGGGUUUCCCCAUGUUACUGUGUCCGAAAUUCGUGGGUUCUUGGUCUCACUGACUUCAAGAAUGAAGCUGCGGAUCCUCACGCUGAGUGUUACAUUUCUUAAAGAUGGUGUGUCCGGAGUUUGUUCUUGCUGAUGUUCGGAUGUGUUCGGAAUUUCUUCCUUCUGGUGGGUUCGUGGUCUUGCUUGCUUCAGGAGUGACGCUGUAGACCUUCCCAGGGAGUGUUGCAGCUCUUAAGGCAGCGUGUCUGGAGUUGUUCAUUCCUCCUGGUGGGUUUGUGGUUUUGCUGGCCUCAGGAGUGAAACUGCAGACCUUCACAGUGAGUGUUACAGCUCAUAAAAGCAUCUCACACCCAACGAGUGAGCAGCAGCAAGAUUUCUCGCAGAGAAUUAAAAAACAAAUCCUCUACACUGUGAAAAGGUCCCCAAGCCGGUUGCCG